rnacentral:lncRNA from 1 species
AGAAAAAAUUAAUUACAAACUGGAAUCAAGAACUACCUCCGGCAGUUACAGCAUUCUCCGAACCAAGAAUCACAGAACCUUCCAUUUUGCACUGCAAUUUGAGCCUCAAUACACUUCUCUCUCUAAAUGGUUCGACCAACUCGAAUUUCUAUGAUUGCCAAUAUGCCUAGCUUUCUCUCUCUGUGUGAGUGUGUGCGCGGGCGAAAGAGAGAGACUCCUGAAUCCCAGGUUGAAUUGAAAUGGGGGAGGGAAAUGACUAGUGCGGUUUGGAGUUUCCGAAGCAAAUUCCGAACCUACUUUGAAUCUUAUAUUACGU